rnacentral:rRNA from 1 species
CGGCGGACGGGUGAGUAACACGUGGAUAACCUACCUAUAAGACUGGGAUAACUUCGGGAAACCGGAGCUAAUACCGGAUAAUAUAUUGAACCGCAUGGUUCAAUAGUGAAAGACGGUUUUGCUGUCACUUAUAGAUGGAUCCGCGCCGCAUUAGCUAGUUGGUAAGGUAACGGCUUACCAAGGCAACGAUGCGUAGCCGACCUGAGAUGGUGAUCGGCCACACUGGAACUGAGACACGGUCCGG